rnacentral:rRNA from 1 species
GUGAGGAAUAUUGGUCAAUGGGCGGGAGCCUGAACCAGCCAAGUCGCGUGAAGGAAGAAGGAUCUAUGGUUCGUAAACUUCUUUUGCAGGGGAAUAAAGUGCGGGACGUGUCCUGUUUUGUAUGUACCCUGAGAAUAAGGAUCGGCUAACUCCGUGCCAGCAGCCGCGGUAAUACGGAGGAUCCGAGCGUUAUCCGGCUUUAUUGGUUUUAAAGGGUGCGUAGGUGGUUUGAUAAGUCAGCGGUGAAAGUUUGCAGCUUAACUGUAAAAAUGCCGUUGAAACUGUCGGACUUGAGUGUAAAUGAGGUAGGCGGAAUGCGUGGUGUAGCGGUGAAAUGCAUAGAUAUCACGCAGAACUCCGAUUGCGAAGGCAGCUUACUAAGCUACAACUGACACUGAAGCACGAAAGCGUGGGGAUCAAACAGGAUUAGAUACCCCGGUAGUCC